UACCACUCAUCCCACACCUCGGGUCCCCAUCCAGGCUUUGUCUCUCUUUCUCUCUCCGUACACAGCCUCUUUCCUCUAUCUUCUGCUCGCUUGCGUACUCGUUCACACGCAUGUAACAUUCACAGAUGACAGCAGCACUUACGCAAAAUCACCUGGGAAUACAUGGCGUUGUGGUGGCUCUCUCCUUCACAGUCUGUCAAUGACUACAAAUGAGACCCUGGAUAAACACAUAUCUGUAUCAUGAUCCAGCUACGACUAUACUGGACAGACAGACAGUGAGGCAGACAGACAGACAGGUAUCUGUGUAAGUUGAUGGAAAUAAUGACUUACAGUGAGUGGCAAACAGUGUAAUGGAUAAUAGUACUGGUUUCUUUGGAAUAAGCACAAAGUCAUUGAAAGUGCAAGUUACAUUUGUAUCUUAUUUCUUUUUUGUUUUCCAUAAUAGGCUUGACUAAAUGGAAUUCACAGUAAUGUUUUCCUCAUGGGCAGUGACUAAAUGUUUAUACCACUGAGGAAAAUGACUUUCUUUUGUUUUCAUUAUGCUCAUCAACAACAGACUUCCAUCCAGUUGGAAUAUGCAUUAUGGAGGGGAACCAAGAAGACGUCAUGUCGCAAGGCAUCACGGGAAGAGGAUUUUGGCUGGCGGAGGGAGCGCAGGAAUGGCGUCGGACAGACAGUGUGACCCAGGGCUCAGGUGGCAGCUGUGCUACGACUUCUCUGCCAGGUCAUGGUGGAUGGUAGGGAUACUCCCUGUCUAUCUCUAUUGCUUUCUCCAUCACUCUCGCUUUCUUCUCUCUCCAUUGACCAUCUCUUCAUUAAAUUAAAAAAAUGUAUUUAAUUAAAAUGACAUUUGGGUGGAGGUUGUUGCUCAGGUAUAGGGCAUAGAAAAUGUUUUGUUUAAAAUGGCAAGUUGAUGGUCAGGAAUCAAUUGAUUGAAUGUUUGAUGAAGUGAUUUCUGGUGAGAGGAUGUAUUGUUGUGCGAGGGUCUGGUUGACUUGGGUGAAAGUAUUCCUGUAGAGAAGUUGGAGUCGCCUGCAUCAAUUGAUAUUGGAAUGAUGGUGUAGUCAUCAAAAUCCUGAUGACAAUUGUGAUCAUUUUUUGUUUUCAAUAAUGCUUUUUCUUUGGGCUACUUUAAAUGGUAAAAAUCUCAGUUGUGUGUGUGUGUGUGUGUGUGUGUGUGUGUGUGUGUGUGUGUGUGUGUGUGUGUGUGUGUGUGUGUGUGUGUGUGUACAAAAUGAGGCUGCUGCCCUGAACUCUACUUUCAUUGCUAGUUUUUGUAAGUGAAAGUUGGUAGAUGCUUAACGCCACUCACACAAUUAUUUAACAUAAUUCGGUGCCAGAUUCAAUAUUUCAAUUGCCGUGGAAUAAAGACUCUGACUGUUAUUAAAUACAAUCUUAUCUCUGUUGCUAUCCUAUUACUCUCAGAAUAUUGAAACUUCAAAUGUUUUGAAAAUGCUUGUUACUUUUGGCUUGCAUACAUUUAUCAUAUCAUAUCACCUACUGAAUAAUAAAUGAUCUCAUAUUUGAGAUUAAAGAUAAUACCAAUGGAUGUAGUUUCAAACUGUACUUCAUACUUGUACUUAAUAUUCAGUGUUUUCCCCACAAGUCUUUGAAUAAAAAUGGACAGAUUACUGUUUCUAAUAAGGAUUGAUUGGAGGUAUAAUUAACAACAAGCAUAACGUAAUGAUUUUAGGUCAUAUUUUUGCGUCCACAUAGCCUACAUUUUUCACCCAUAUAGAUCAUAUAUCCUGCUUUAUACACAUACAAAACAACUAGAACAAUUUUUGCAUCCUCAGGUUCAGAACCAGAUGCCAGCCACCAAUCAUUUGACCCCUUACAUCAGACCCCUUUAUAUUAAAUAGUACAUAUUGAUAGCAUUGAUCAUUCUGUACCACUCUUGUUUGCAUUGUAUUGAUUGUCCUUUGCAUGUUGGUACACAGCGCAGAGGUGUCCUGAGGCCUGACACAGUUAGAAAACCCCAGGCUUCCCUGCAGUGCCAGCCUGCUGCGCUCACUGCUAUGUAGGGCACCACAGGGCCUGCUGCCUUGCUGAGAGGGGGAGAAGGAGGAGGAGAGAAGGAUAGGAAGGCCAGCCAGAACUGGGGCCCCUCGUAGGGGGGUGGCAGGGGAUGAGGCGACUGCAGGGUGCUGGGGCACAGGGGUGGGCAAGGCUAGGUUAUUAUGGCUGGCAAAGGAACUUUCUCUCACCCUGUGGAGAAUCACCAGGCCCUGCUAACCGGAACGU
rnacentral:lncRNA from 13 species